UACGGGGGGCGCAAGCGUUGUUCGGAAUCACUGGGCGUAAAGGGCUUCUAGGCGGUUUGGUACGUGGGAUGUGAAAUCCCCGGGCUCACCCCGGGACCUGCAGCCCAAACUGCUGAGCUUGAGUACAGGAGAGGGUGGGGGAAUUCCAGGUGUAGCGGUGAAAUGCGUAGAUAUCUGGAGGAAUACCGGUGGCGAAGGCGGCAUCCUGGACCAUUACUGACGCUGAGGCGCGAAAGCUAGGGGAGCAAACGGG
rnacentral:rRNA from 1 species